UACAGAGGUCCCAAGCGUUGUUCGGAUUCACUGGGCGUAAAGGGUGCGUAGGCGGUCGGGUAAGUCUGGCGUGAAAUCUCCAAGCCUAACUUGGAAACUGCGUUGGAUACUAUCCGGCUCGAGGAAUGGAGGGGAGACUGGAAUACUUGGUGUAGCAGUGAAAUGCGUAGAUAUCAAGUGGAACACCAGUGGCGAAGGCGAGUCUCUGGGACGGUACUGACGCUGAGACGCGAAAGCGUGGGGAGCGAACAGG
rnacentral:rRNA from 1 species